CACCAGAUCAAAGGCAUCACUGGGCAUUGCGAAAGCAAGGUGCUAUCUGGGCCGGCCGCUGCACUUAAAACUGCGGUACCCCAAAGUGGCUGAUGGGAAACCUGAUCUUUAGAGGUCUGCCUCUUCAACCUUUUCUCACGUGUUCCCCUCUGAGGCAAACAGAGCCUUCAAGUUGAGCGUUGGUCUCCUUUGUGCUCUGAGGAUUGUCUGGCUUGAAGUUGAACACAAUUAGGGAGAGAAGAGGUGAUAGUCUGUGGAUAUCCAAAAAGCAGCCCUCAACUCUGAGCCAACACAAAGCGGUGGAAAGAUUUUUCCCGCGAGAUCCCGUCAAAGAUGAAGCUUGACCACUUGCACAAUUUACCAACGUCUGAGGCGACCAGAAGUUACUCUUUCACCAGCAGUGACGGAACACGAUGUGUUGCAUGGAGAAGAUAUGAUGGAACCUUCUACAAAACCCAAGAACCUGAAGUGACUGCAGAUCCAUUGACCACAGCAGUCACUAGUGGCUCAGUGG